rnacentral:rRNA from 1 species
UACAGAGGGUGCGAGCGUUAAUCGGAAUUACUGGGCGUAAAGCGCACGUAGGCGGCUUGGUAUGUCGGGUGUGAAAUCCCCGGGCUCAACCUGGGAACUGCAUCCGAAACUGCCUUGCUCGAGUAUGGGAGAGGGAAGUGGAAUUUCCGGUGUAGCGGUGAAAUGCGUAGAUAUCGGAAGGAACAUCAGUGGCGAAGGCGGCAUCCUGGACCAACACUGACCACUGAGGAGCGAAAGCCAGGGGAGCAAACCGGG